UCUCUGUACAUGUGUGUGUGAAUUUGUUUGUUUUGAUUGUUGAGGUGCAGCCAUUAGGAGCUGAAGCUGCCAGCAUGAUCUGAUGAAUUGGUAGCUACAAAAACAAAUAUACAUCAGAUCAUGCUGUGCAGUUUCAUCUGCUGGUGGCUGCACAAAUUGGCCAGAUUAUGUACGUUGGUGUAAGAGGUAAUCUUAGAUGCUUUUUGUUUGGGAGCUAGCUGAGCACCGAUGAAUUGAUUGGAGACCAGAUGAGCAAGCCAAGAACUGAAGAUGAAACAGGUUGAAAGAUCAGGUCAAUUGGGCAAGCCAAGAAGUGAAGAUGAAACAUGUAUGGAGAUCAAACAAGGAGGAGCUAGCAAGCCAAAACUGAAUUAGGAUGAACAGGUACAGGUGUGAGAGCCUGAGGAGUUCUUUCUUUUGCAUCAAUAUAAUGCAUGAAAUGAAACCUAGCUAAGGGUGUUCUUGCUCUAGCUAGCAUGUUCAGGAGAAGCUAGAUAUAUGGAGACAAUUAAUAUCAUCAGCCCUGGAGCAGCUUGGCAAAUCUUGGGUUGAUCUGCAAGCUUUUGAUGCAGGUCUACUAUAGGAUACUAUUGCUAAUUGAGAAGCGACAACAUCAUGAGUAAAUUAGAUUAUUUGUUUUUUAAGCUCAUACAAUAUUGCAAAUGUCUGUGAAAUUAAUGCGUGGUGAAGCAAAACCAGUAAACCACAGAUAUUUUUAUCACACUGAAGUUAACACAGGAGUACCGAGUGAAUGACAUGUGGGACCUAGCCUCACUAGCUAUCAUCGUCACUACAGAUGUGCUGGGUAAAUUAUGAUUGCAGUCAUAUAUUGUUUUGGCAGGAUUAUCUAUCUUCAAUUCAUCAGAUAGGUCUGAGAUUUCACUAUUGUAUGACCAGAUGACACACAUCUGCAGCAGAUUUUCUGGAGUACCUAUAUGUAG